UUUUAUUUGAGAGUUUGAUCCUGGCUCAGGAUGAACGCUGGCGGCGUGCCUAACACAUGCAAGUUGAGCGAUUUACUUCGGUAAAGAGCGGCGGACGGGUGAGUAACGCGUGGGUAACCUACCCUGUACACACGGAUAACAUACCGAAAGGUAUGCUAAUACGGGAUAAUAUAUUUGAGAGGCAUCUCUUGAAUAUCAAAGGUGAGCCAGUACAGGAUGGACCCGCGUCUGAUUAGCUAGUUGGUAAGGUAACGGCUUACCAAGGCGACGAUCAGUAGCCGACCUGAGAGGGUGAUCGGCCACAUUGGAACUGAGACACGGUCCAAACUCCUACGGGAGGCAGCAGUGGGGAAUAUUGCACAAUGGGCGAAAGCCUGAUGCAGCAACGCCGCGUGAGUGAUGAAGGCCUUCGGGUCGUAAAACUCUGUCCUCAAGGAAGAUAAUG
rnacentral:rRNA from 1 species